AGCUUUGCGCAGUGGCAGUAUCGUAGCCAAUGAGGUUUAUCCGAGGCGCGAUUAUUGCUAAUAAGAUAUUUCUGGAAGGAAGGGUCUUGGUGAUUAGACAGAUGAAGGGAAGAAGCUAAGAGUCCUUGAGCUGUCCUGGGGGAA